GACGAACGCUGGCGGCGUGCUUAACACAUGCAAGUCGAACGGAAAGUCCCUGCUUUUGUGGGGUGCUCGAGUGGCAAACGUGUGAGUAACACGUGAGUAACCUGCCCUUGACUUUGGGAUAACUUCAGGAAACUGGGGCUAAUACCGGAUAGUAGCUCCGGCUCAUGGGUGGGGGUUGGAAAGUUUCGGCUGUUGGGGGUGGACUCUCGGCUUAUCAGCUUGUUGAGGGGGUAGUGGCUUACCAAGGCUUUGACGGGUAGCCGGAGGGAGAGGGUGACCGGGCACAUUGGGACUGAGAUACGGCCCAGACUCCUAUGGGAGGGAGAGGUGGGGAAUAUAGUACACUGGGCGGAAGACUGAGGCAGCAACGCUGCGUGCGGGAUGACGGCCUUCGGGUUGUAAACCGCUUUCGCCUGUGACGAAGCGUGAGUGACGGUAAUGGGUAAAGAAGCACCGGCUAACUACGUG
rnacentral:rRNA from 1 species